rnacentral:rRNA from 1 species
GACGAACGCUGACGGUGUGCUUAACACAUGCCAGUCGAACGGUAAGGCCCUUUCGGGGGUACACGAGUGGCGAACGGGUGAGUAACACGUGAGUAACCUGCCCUCAUCUCUGGGAUAACAGUCGGAAACGGUUGCUAAUACUGGAUAUGAGCUUGCAAGGCAUCUUGUGGGUUGGAAAGAUUUUUUUUGGUUGGGGAUGGACUCGCGGCCUAUCAGCUUGUUGGUGAGGUAGUGGCUCACCAAGGCUUCGACGGGUAGCCGGCCUGAGAGGGCGACCGGCCACAUUGGGACUGAGAUACGGCCCAAACUCCUACGGGAGGCAGCAGUGGGGAAUAUUGCACAAUGGACGGAAGUCUGAUGCAGCAACGCCGCGUGCGGGAUGACGGCCUUCGGGUUGUAAACCGCUUUCAAUUGUGACGAAGCUUUUUUGUGACGGUAGCAGUAGAAGAAGCACCGGCUAACUACGUG